rnacentral:tRNA from 1 species
GGUAGAGUAGUUUAUAUAAAAUAUAGGAUUGUCAAUCCUGAGAGGUCUACUCUAUGACCUCUACCU